rnacentral:rRNA from 1 species
CGCGUCCGCCGCUCAAAUCCCCUGGAACGGGGUAUCGGAGAAGGUGAGAAUCCUGUGCCGUGGCGGUUCGCGGUCGCACGAUGCGCUCUUGCAGAGUCGGGUUGCUUGGGAUUGCAGCUUGAAUUGGGUGGUAAAUUCCAUCUAAAGCUAAAUACUGGCGAGAGACCGAUAGCGAACAAGUACCGUGAGGGAAAGAUGAAAAGACUUUUGAAAAGAGAGUAAAAUAGUACCUGAAACUGCUGAAAGGGAAGCGAUUGAAGUCAGUGUUGCUCCUGGUCUUUUUGCCGUCGCCCCCGUGGGGGUUGCGGCGUGGGGCCUGGAGCGUUUCAACAUGCGUUCUGUUCCGCGGGAAAUGUUCAGUGUGCUGGAACCUUCGGGGAAACGCACUGUUCUUGUCGUGGUUAGGACGGAGGACCUUUGCUCCUUUGACUGCGCGUUCCUCUCUCGGGUAUGCUGGUGUCUACUGCUUGCAGUUUUCAUUUUCAUGCUUGCGACUGUGCGUGUUAUUCAUGAGCGAACAUGAUGUUGAAGAAAUGGCUUUAAUUACCCCGUCUUGUAACACGGACCAAGGAGUCGUCUUCGUAUGCGAGUGUUCGGGUGUCAAACCCCUACGCGUAAUGAAAGUGAACGCAGGUGAGAGCUUCGGCUCAUCAUCGACCGAUCCUGAUGUUCUCGGAUGGAUUUGAGUAAGAGCAUACGGGGCCGGACCCGAAAGAAGGUGAACUAUGCCUGUAUAGGGUGAAGCCAGAGGAAACUCUGGUGGAGGCUCGCAGCG